rnacentral:rRNA from 1 species
GUAUACAGCCAUAACACCCUGAACACGCCCCAUCUCGUCUGAUCUCGGAAGCUAAACAGGGUUGGGCCUGGUUAGUACUUGGAUGGGAGAAAAGCUUCUUGGACACAGAGGUACUUGACAUG